rnacentral:rRNA from 1 species
UUGCACCAAUAAAUAGUUGAUGUAAUAUUGACUCUGUCAAAUAAAAUUCUAGGUAGAAUUAUGAUAAUGACAUUGUCUGCCUAUAUGUCUUGACCAAAUUACGUGCCAGCAGUCGCGGUAAUACGUAGAAGACUAGUGUUAUUCAUCUUUAAUAGGUUUAAAGGGUACCUAGACGGUAGAUCAAGCCUUCGCAGGGACUAAUUUACUAGAGUUACUUACGAGGGGGUAUUAAAGUACUGCAGGUGUAGGGAUGAAAUCCUGUCAUACCUCUUUUCGAAAGAAAAAUUAUGGCACAGGUAUAGGUGAAAGCAUCCCCUUAUGUGAUAACUGACGUUGAAGGACGAAGGCUUUGUGUCGCGAACAGGAUUAGAUACCCCAGUAGUCAAAGCAGAAAAUGAUGAAUGUCAUAGAUUAGAUAAAUAGUUUAUUCUAUAAAUGAAAAUGUAAGCAUUCCACCUCAAGAGUAAUUUGGCAACAUUGGAACUGAAAUCAUUAGACCGUUUCUGAAACCAGUAGUGAAGUAUGUUGUUUAAUUUGAUGAUCCGCAAAAAACCUUACCACAAUUUGAAUAUUUAUAUCUAUCUUAUUUUUCCGUAAAAAAAUAAAAAGGUAAUAUAUUUACAAGCGUUGCACGGCUGUCUUCAGUUAAUGUCGCGAGACUUUGGUUAGUUCCAUUAAAUUAACGUAAACCCUUACUUUAUUUUUAUAUAAAGUAGUUCCCCGCUAUAUUGGAUAUGAUAACAGGGACUAAGACAAGUCAUCAUGGCCUGAAUAUUGUGGGCUAUAGACG